AGCCAGGGACGCGCGCUCGGUCCCCCGCCGUGCGCCCCCGGUCCCGCGCCCAGGCUCCCGCCCCUGGCCUCCUUACCAGCCACUUGUCGCCCAGCUGCGAACUGGAGCGGGAGGCGGCGGCCGGAGGGCCCAGGACAGCCCCGGGAGGGCGGCGAGGCGGAGCAGGAGCGCCCCGGCUCCGGCCACAUUCUCAGAGUCAGGAAAAGGGGCGAGAGGCCACAUGUCUCCCUCUCGCCCAACUGAAAACGAAACGGCGCUCCAGCAGAUUGGGUGGAAAGAGCUGGGUCUCUUUUCUCUGUUUUUCACGCUAGAAAGGGCUUGUAAACAUUGUUCCUUUUAAAAUGACCUACCCCAGGCAUUUGUUUGGGCACACUUCUGUCCUGGGGUCAUCGUUCCUAGGUGGCUUCGGACCUGGGACUUUUCCUGUAUCUGCACAUUGUCGUUUUAUACACAAUUGCCAAGGUGGGACUGCUUUCAACUUUACUGUGCUUGAAGCUGCAAAGGUUCUGCCCUGAUGUUUCCUGGAAUAAUGCUGAGGACUGCCUUUCGGGUAGCCGCCCUAUUCAGUUCACUUCAUCUCGGAAAUACCUGACCCCUGCCUUGGAUCCAGCGGCCCUCCUGAGAGCUGAGGAAGGAGGAAAUCCUAUGUGUCUGCUCCCGGAGCUGCCACAACCCAUCUUCCCACAACUCGGAACUUGGAAAAAGGAACCCAGGACACGACUUUGCUUUUCUUUUGGACCUAGUUGGUGAUUAUACUCUGUCUCCCAUGGAGACCACGUCUUGCAUCCUUCCUUCUAUAUGGGAUUUAGGAUAGAAAUUAAAAAGAAAACAUAUUAUUUUGAGUCUUGAUUUGGAGAAAGGUAGUAUUCAGGAGGAAGUAGGCUAUGAUACACAUAGAAAAUUUGAGGACAGUGUUACUUAACAAGGACAUUUCUGUCUCUGCAGAAGUCACAGCUUGGAGGAAACCAGUUUGCACUAUUUGAUGAGGAAUUUGGCCACCAAACCACUGAUACUUUCCCAAAGGUUUGGCAGAAAUUGUUUUUUGAGUGGCUCACCAGAGUACCCAGAAGAAUCAGUAUGGAAUUAGAGGACAGUGGCCUACCCUAAAUAAAGACAUGAGUGAUGUAUAAAGUCUAGUGUCAAUUUAUUCAGAAAAUAUCAAAAUUAUUCUGGGAGCUAUGGGUCAAAGUUGAUAGGCACAAACAAACAAAAACGAAAGGUAUUUUAAAUUCACAGCUUGGAUAAGUAAAAGGGAGAUGUUGUCAUUUCUCUUCUUCAAUCCAACUUUAGAUUUUCAAGCCGGAAAAAGGGUAAUUAGAAGUUAGAAAUUGUUAUUGCCAGAAAAUAGCUCUAAACCCUGAAAAAAAAAAAAAAAAAAAAAAAAACUGACCCUCCUCUUGGGGAGUGAUAAACCUCAAUUACUGUUGAUAGUAAAACUGAUAUCAACUCUUCGAAACCAGUGAAAGGUGAAUGGAAACCUUACCCUAGGUUAAGGUUUAAAAAAUGUUCAUAAUAUAUAUUUGAAAGUUCCAUUAUUUAAAAUAUUCAUUAGACAUGCUUUGUAAUGUUAAGUUACUUCAAAAAAUCUUACACAAGGGAAGGGAAGUAUGUAUUAUUCCUUCAUUUAAGAGAAAGAUAAUGUGUGAAUAUUAGUUAAUAUUUAUCGUACAUUUACUACCUGUGUCGAAGCGUAGUGUUACACACUUAAUUUCAAUUAUUUAAUUUGAUUCUAACAAUGAAUCCCCUGAGAUGGAUAAUAUCCUCUUCAUUUUACAGAUGAGACAAUUGAGACUUAAAGGUUAAACAAAUGAUUUCCUAAGCUCAUUCAGCUAAUAAACGGUAGGGGACUGCUUGACACCAGUCCAGUUGACCCUCAAAUCCAUGAUUUCUGCCACCAUAUUCACAGAAACAAGACAAGAGCUGAAAAUAUAGCCUGACUCUUGAAACAGUCAAAGAAUUGUGUAUGUUUAUGAAAGUUCUGAUUAAUAAGAUAUUCUGAGGACAAAAGACAAGGCAUGGGUAGAGGGGCAAUGUGUAGAUUAGAAUGUAUCACAAUGCCCACUAAAUAGUAAAACCAUAGAAAAUGAAAUUUAAUCCUUACUGUGUAGAAUAUUUAGAGUAGAUUGUUUUUUCCUCGGUGUCAAUUACUAUUACAACUAUCAAAGAAUGAAAUUAAACAAGAAACGGUU
rnacentral:lncRNA from 1 species